CCACAGCUACAACCGCACAGAACAAGUUUGUAAGAACAGUGAUGUCACUUGGGAUGGCGAGUCUAAGUAUAAAA
rfam:Enterococcus phoeniculicola ATCC BAA-412 genomic scaffold acvKl-supercont1.4, whole genome shotgun sequence.